CUACCCGGCCGCUUGGCUGGUAGCGUUGGGAACUGGGUGGCUGCCCUGAGCGAGUCAACCCUUGGCUGGGUAGGCUCGCUGCGGGGUUCUGUGCUCAUUCCCCUCCCCGGGAAAGCUUUGUGAAAUUUGAUUUUUUUUUUCUCUAAUUUUCAGACUUGUUCUGAACAACAUUAACAACAUUAUACAGUGGAUCAAUUGGCUUGGGGGUCGAUGAAGAACGCAGCUAAAUGCGUGACAUAAUGUGAAUUGCAGGACACAUGAACAUCGACACUUUGAACGCACAUUGCAGGCCUGAGCUCGUAUCAGGCCUACCCUUGUCUCAGGGUCGGUUGAACACUAUCCAUCAGGAUUCGCUCCUGCUCUGUCUACUCGGCUAGUGGCUUGCCACUGGAUCCGGUAGGCUAAAGUGUGUCCGGCCAGCUUCGCUCGCCUCACAACUCUAGGGAGAAACAAAUCCCGGGUUGUGUGAGCGGACUGGGUUUCGGAUCGCGUGUGGCUUUGCAGACUCUUUGGGCUAGCCGCGCACUCCCAUCCUUUCGACCUGAGCUCAAGGGAGGCUACCCGCCGAAUUUAAGCAUAUCAAUAAAGCGGAGGAA
rnacentral:rRNA from 1 species